rnacentral:rRNA from 1 species
AGCGAACGCUGGCGGCAGGCCUAACACAUGCAAGUCGAACGAACUCUUCGGAGUUAGUGGCGGACGGGUGAGUAACACGUGGGAACGUGCCUUUAGGUUCGGAAUAACUCAGGGAAACUUGUGCUAAUACCGAAUGUGCCCUUCGGGGGAAAGAUUUAUCGCCUUUAGAGCGGCCCGCGUCUGAUUAGCUAGUUGGUGAGGUAAAGGCUCACCAAGGCGACGAUCAGUAGCUGGUCUGAGAGGAUGAUCAGCCACAUUGGGACUGAGACACGGCCCAAACUCCUACGGGAGGCAGCAGUGGGGAAUCUUGCGCAAUGGGCGAAAGCCUGACGCAGCCAUGUCGCGUGAAUGAUGAAGGUCUUAGGAUUGUAAAAUUCUUUCACCGGGGACGAUAAUGACGGUACCCGGAGAAGAAGCCCCGGCUAACUUCGUG